UCAUCUUCUCGCGGGACAUUUCAUUCUCGUCUUGAUGACCUGUGGGAAAAGAUGGAGAAUCAGCGGGAGCCUCUUUAUUCCUUUUUAAGGGAUAGAAAUGUGUCAGAGGACAGAAUUUCCACCAUGAGGAAUGACAAAAUCGACAUCUCUGAGGCUGGACGUGGAUGAUGGCCACAGAAACACUACCUGAAGAUUUUGAGAGGAUUAAGAAAACCUACUGACUGACUUCCUUCAUGGAUGCAGAUAGAGGACAUUUGCAUUCUCUAAUUAAAGUGUACUUUUCAAUGGGGUUAAACCAUAGAGAAAUACUGCUUUCACUCAGCGCUGUUGAUAGAAUAAUAAUCAGCCUUCGGACUCUUCGAAGAAUCUUGUCAACACUGAGACUUCACAGAAGAAAAAAAACAAAGUGACGUUCUUGACAUUGCAUUAUUUCUUAUUGGACAACUGCAGACUUAUGGUCAACUUAAUGGAUACAAACUGCAACAUCUUAGAUGUAUACAGGAGGGAUUUGUUGUCACCCAGAACACAGUGAGACAGUUAAUCAAAAUUCUGGAUCCCAGAGGUGUUGAGUUGAGACAACGUAAUCGUCUCCGUCGUCGACUGUAUUGUAAUCCUGGACCAAACUUUAUUUGGCAUGUGGACUCUUAUGAUAAACUGAAACCAUAUGGAAUUUGUCUGAAUGGGGCUGUGGAUGGGUUUUCCAGAAUGGUUAUCUGGCUUCAUGCAUACUCUACAAACAGUAAUCCUAAAAUUAUUGCUGGAUAUUUCAUUUCAGAAGUUGAGAAAAGAGGUGGUACUGCAGCCAGAGUCCGUACAGACAUGGGGACAGAGAACGGUACAAUGGAAGACAUUCAAAGAUUUUUACGCCUUGAUAAUGAUGACAGCUUUGCCAGAAAUUGCUUCAUUUUAGGAUCCAGCACCCACAAUCAGCGAAUAGAGAGCUGGUGGGCUUUCUUAAGGAAACACCAUGCACAGUACUGGAUUAACGUUUUUCAAAAACUGAAGGAUUCAGAUGAUUUCACUGGGGACUUCUUGGACAAGCAGCUGAUUCUUUUCACCUGUUUGAAGAUCAUUGAGGAAGAGCUUCAAAAUGUUGUUCAUUUAUGGAACACUCACAUCAUUCGUCAGAGCAGAAAUGCGAUUGCUCCAAGUGGCCGACCAUGCAUGAUGUAUACCCUCCCGCAGCUUUUUGGUGGACAAGAUUAUUUGAAGCAAGUUUCCGAGCAAGCAGUGGCAACUUGCAAAGCACAUUGUCUUCAGAGGGGACCAGACACAUGUGAUGAAACCGUCUUCUCACUAUCCUGCCUCCCGAUGGCAGAAAACUUUCUUCAUGCACCGACCACACCAAAUGAAGCAAUUGAACUGUAUCUAUUUUUAAGAGCUUCCAUACGUUCAAACCUGUCAGACGUGUAACACUGGUUCAAAUCAACAGUUUCUUGCUUUCUUUACAAUCAACUUCUGCGUACUCAUAAUUGGUGUCAUGUUGUCCUUUCAUGCACCUUCAUAUAUUUUGUUUACAGAACUUGAAACUUUUUGCUGUUGUGUAUGACUGAAAAAAUGCUAUGACAUAAGAGUAGUGGAAUGUUAGUAAGAUAUGGAUCUAGGUUUACUCAGUUUUCUCAUAAAUGUGUAAGAUAUUUAGAUAUGUAAAUUCUACAUAAUAUACAUUUAAGUGUACAUGUUGGAGAACAAUUUAGAAAAUGUCAUUAAAAAUGUUAAAUCUAUAAUACAGUACACAACCUAUUCAAAUUUGGUCCAAUUUAUAAACCACACCCCACCUC